GCCCCUUUUUUUAUCCAUAUAAUUGGAGUGAUAUUAUUUUCUUUGGGUGCUUUAAGCAAAAUGUGAUCCUUACGAAAUGAUGUGAAGCAGAUAACCUAUGCCCACAAUGAAUUAGUGUCUUUUGAGUUAUGCCAUCGUUUUGUAAAGUAAAGUUAUUCUUCUAUUAUACAACCCUCAUCAUCAUCAGAGCUUUGGGUGCUUUACUGGGUCUUAUUGGACAUCCAAGGAUCUUAUGUAUUCUGGUUUUGAGGAUGGUAGUCAUACAUUUGAGGUAAAUUAGCUUAACUUCUUAGUUCGGAAAAGCAGUCUUUGUUGAGUUCAGCUUCUAUAAAAUUCUUUUUGCUUUACAUCAUCAAUUGAAAAUACCUCGGUUUCUCAAACAAUUGGGUUGUUGAUUGGAGUGGAAGAAAUUUCCUCAGAAAAGCAGGCAGAAUACCUGGCAGCACGUCUUAAGCCACUUUAUGGACAAAAUGCUACUCAUAGAUGCAAAGGCUCAAGGGCUCGAGGAAAGUUCACCUAAAGUUAUGAGCUCAUAACAGAAUAUUGCAGCUUUAAAUGCACUUAGCAAGGUCAGUUUCUAUCUACUGUAAAAUACAUCUUAUCAUGAGUUUACUCUACAAAAUGUUCUAAAUUUGUUUCUUAGAGAUGGAAUUCUCUCAUGUAUACUUUCUGCGAUGAAGAUAUGACGUAACCUGCAUAUUUUGAAGAAAUAUUGAGAUACAUAAUGAAAUAGGUUGUUGUAGAUAUAUGGACCCACUUGAUACCUUAUUAUGCAAAGGUUUGAUAUUUAGAAAUGUGACAAGUAUUUGUAGGAGAAUAUCCAAAGUCUGAGAAUUCAAAAAUAAAAUUUUAGAAACAUCUACUCUUUCUUUUUGAGAAAAAAGUUCUGGGUGUUGAACCAUCCAGAAAUAAAAAGGAGCAACAUUGCACCCAUAAAUAUUGCAAGCAUAAAAAAAAA